GGAAGGAUCAUUAUCAUAUAACGUAUCCACGUAUAAACCAAUCUUUAAUGUGAAUUGUUUUAUUUACCUCAUUUUCUUGUAUUGAUUGUAUUCUUUCAUAUACCAAAAGAUUUUUGAAUAUCACCUGUUUAGCGUUUGAAUGGAAUUGCUUGAUAGAUUAAUUCCAUGAGCUGAUCUGGGAGGAUAUUCGAAUGAUCUGUGAGAGAAAUGAAUCAAUUGAAAAUGAGCGAAUUUAAUCUAUCUAAACUUUAUUAACCAAUUGAACCGUAAUUGUUAUUUUAUCUUUUUAGUACUGAAUUGAUUUCCUAUUCUCUCCUUUAUUGGAAAGAUUUGAAAUUAAAAUUUUACGAAAAAUUAUAGAACAACUCUUAGCAACGGAUAUCUUGGUUCUCGUAACGAUGAAGAACGCAGCGAAAUGCGAUACGUAAUGCGAAUUGCAGAAUUCAGUGAAUCAUCAAAUCUUUGAACGCAAAUUGCGCUUCUUGGAUAGGCCAGGAAGCAUGCCUCUUUGAGUAUCGUUUUCACCUCAGCUCGACAGCUCUUUUGUUUAACUACGAGAGAGUCUAUCGGAUAAUGAGUCGUUCUUGUCUGAAAUAGAUAAGUGACUUUAAAUUGCUGUGAGUGUUUCAACUUUCUCUCUUUGAAUUCAUUACUUUCGAAUAAUGUGUUCUUUUCUCUUCGGAGGAAGGAAGCUCAGCUUUCGGAAUUGGGAUUCUUUUUCAGUUUGAAAUUUGAAUUUUGUGGAUAAUCUUUUAUUUACAAUUCUUAAAUUUUAAUAGAAAAGGAAUAACAUUCUAAGUUUGGGUACUGCAGUAUUCACUAAUAAAGGAAAGAUUCAUUUUAUCUUUAAUGAUAAGGGAUUGUACACUCAGUGGAAAUUAAUCUAAUUUAAUCUAAACAAUUAAAUUUAUUUUUGAAUUAGAUCUCAAAUGAAGCAAGACUACCCGCUGAACUUAAGCAUAUUAUUAAGCGGAGGAAAAGAAACUAACAAGGAUGCCCUCAGUAACGGCGAGUGAAGCGGGCAAAGCUCAACCUGAAAAUCGAGUAUCCAAACGGGUGCUUCGAAUUGUGGGCUAGAGACGCGUGAUCAGUGUGUGACCUAGGUAUAAAUCUUUUGAAAUAAGGUAUCAUAGAGGGUGAGAAUCCCGUCUUUGACCUAGAGUUAAAAUCGCCACGUACGAUCCGUGUUCAGAGAGUCGAGUUGUUUGGGAUUGCAGCUCUAAUUGGGUGGUAAAUUUCAUCUAAAGCUAAAUAUCGACGAGAGACCGAUAGCGAACAAGUACCGUGAGGGAAAGAUGAAAAGAACUUUGAAAAGAGAGUUAAAAAGUACUUGAAAUUGCUAAGAUGGAAGCACUGGAAACCAGUCUGUGAUGAACUAGUUAUAUUUUUAGUAUUUGCUCCCGGAUGUUGCUGGUGAUAUUGGUGCCCAAAGCCCAAUCACUGGUAAUAUGAUGGUGUGAAUGCGUCCUGUAUAGCUAGCUUUCAAUCAGAAUCAAUUUCAUGUUCGUAGGAGAAAGCUAUGGCAACGGUAGUUCUAUAAGGGGCAACUUUUAUGGAAUGAUUAGUGCUGUAGUGCUACUAUGAAAGAGAUUGAGGGACAAUCGUAAUGCGCACCACUAGGUUAUCCAUUCUCUAUUCCCUGAUCGUUCACCGAAGCGUGUACAACAAAGUUGUGCUGUUUGGGUGGGUGGUUACUGGUUUGGAUGAAUGAGAAGCAGCAUUCGAGAUUCUGAUGAAAUGGUUUUCAUUGACCCGUCUUGAAACACGGACCAAGGAGUCUAACAUAUAUGCGAGUAUUUGGGCUUGGAAACCCAAUGAAUGCGCAAUGAAAGUAAAGGUUGUCUUAUGACUUCUGAGGUAGGAAUCUGUGAUUUCGAUUACAGAGGCACUAUCGACCGAUCCGUCACUUGUGGCAGAUUUGAGUAUGAGCAUAUCUGUUGGGACCCGAAAGAUGGUGAUCUAUGCCUGAACAGGGCGAAGCCAGGGGAAACUCUGGUGGAGGCUCGUAGCGAUACUGACGUGCAAAUCGUUCGUCUGAUUUGGGUAUAGGGGCGAAAGACUAAUCGAACCAUCUAGUAGCUGGUUCCCUC
rnacentral:misc_RNA from 1 species